AUUGAACGCUGGCGGCAUGCCUUACACAUGCAAGUCGAACGGUAACAGGUUAAGCUGACGAGUGGCGAACGGGUGAGUAAUGUAUCGGAACGUGCCCAGUCGUGGGGGAUAACUGCUCGAAAGAGCAGCUAAUGCCGCAUACGACCUGAGGGUGAAAGCGGGGGAUCGCAAGACCUCGCGCGAUUGGAGCGGCCGAUAUCAGAUUAGGUAGUUGGUGAGGUAAAGGCUCACCAAGCCGACGAUCUGUAGCUGGUCUGAGAGGACGACCAGCCACACUGGGACUGAGACACGGCCCAGACUCCUACGGGAGGCAGCAGUGGGGAAUUUUGGACAAUGGGCGCAAGCCUGAUCCAGCCAUGCCGCGUGCGGGAAGAAGGCCUUCGGGUUGUAAACCGCUUUUGUCAGGGAAGAAAAGGUUCUGGCUAAUACCUGGGACUCAUGACGGUACCUGAAGAAUAAGCACCGGCUAACUACGUG
rnacentral:rRNA from 1 species